rnacentral:rRNA from 1 species
UAGCUAAACAGGAUUGUAAACUGUAGAAGUGUUUUCCAGGCAAUCCGAGUUAAUAAGUCCUUUGGAACAGGGCAUCAUAGAGGGUGAGAAUCCCGUCUUUGAUUCGAGAUAUUUUGUCUUUUGCGAUACACUUUCAAAGAGUCAGGUUGUUUGGGAAUGCAGCCUAAAUUGGGUGGUAAAUCUCACCUAAAGCUAAAUAUUGGCGAGAAACCGAUAGCGAACAAGUACCGUGAGGGAAAGAUGAAAAGAACUUUGAAAAGAGAGUUAAACAGUAUGUGAAAUUGUUAAAAGGGAACCGUUUGGAGCCAGACUGGCUUGUCUGUAAUCAAUCUAGGUUUCGUGCCUGGAUGCACUUGCAGACUAUUUGCCUGCCAACGACAAUUUUUUUUGAGUGUAAAAACUAUUGGAAAUGUGGCCAAUAUUUAUUUAUUGGUGUUAUAGUCCUUUAGAAAAUACCUUGAAUUGGAUUGAGGAACGCAGCGAAUGCUUCUCUUUUGAGGCAAAGUCUUUUAUUGGGAUUUACGGAUCAGACUGUGGCA